rnacentral:rRNA from 1 species
AGGGUUCGAUUAUGGCUCAGGACGAACGCUGGCGGCAUGCUUAACACAUGCAGGUCGAACGAGAAAGUCACCUCGGUGGUGAUUAAAGUGGCGCACGGGUGAGUAACGCGUAGACAAUCUGCCCUUCAGUCUGGGACAACUUUUCGAAAGGAGAGCUAAUACCGGAUAACAAUGUUUGACAUAAGUUAAAUAUUUGAAAGCUUUAUGUGCUGAAGGAGGGGUCUGCGUCCCAUUAGCUAGUUGGUGAGGUAAAGGCCUACCAAGGCAACGAUGGGUAGCGGGUUUGAGAGGACGAUCCGCCACACUGGAACUGAGACACGGUCCAGACUCCUACGGGAGGCAGCAGUGGGGAAUAUUGCACAAUGGAGGAAACUCUGAUGCAGCAAUGUCGCGUGAGUGAAGAAGGCCCUUGGGUCGUAAAGCUCUUUUAUGGGGGAAGAUGAUGACGGUACCCCAGGAAUAAGCACCGGCUAACUACGUGCCAGCCGCCGCGGUAAUAC